AGCGAACGCUGGCGGCAGGCUUAAUACAUGCAAGUCGAGGGGCAGCAUGAUUGUAGCAAUACAAUUGAUGGCGACCGGCAAACGGGUGCGGAACACGUACACAACCUUCCAAUAAGUGGGGAAUAGCCCAGAGAAAUUUGGAUUAAUACCCCGUAACAUAACGAUGUGGCAUCACAUUGUUAUUAUAGAUUUUUCGCUUAUUGAUGGGUGUGCGGCUGAUUAGAUAGUUGGCGGGGUAACGGCCCACCAAGUCUACGAUCAGUAGCUGAUGUGAGGGCAGGUUCAGCCACCCGGGCACGGAGACACGGGCCCGACUCCUACGGGAGGCAGCAGUAAGGAAUAUUGGACAAUGGACGCAAGUCUGAUCCAGCCAUGCCGCGUGAAGGAUUAAGGUCCUCUGGAUUGUAAACUUCUUUUAUAAGGGACGAAAAAAGGCUUUUCUAAGUCGUCUGACGGUACCUUAUGAAUAAGCACCGGCUAACUCCGUGCCAGCAGCCGCCGUAACAC
rnacentral:rRNA from 1 species